rnacentral:rRNA from 1 species
AAACCAGCACCUCAAGUGGUCAGGAUGAUUAUUGGACCUAAAGCAUCCGUAGCCGGCUCUGUAAGUUUUCGGUUAAAUCUGUACGCUUAACGUACAGGCUGCCGGGAAUACUGCAGAGCUAGGGAGUGGGAGAGGUAGACGGUACUCGGGAGGAAGUGGUAAAAUGCUUUGAUCUCUCGAUGACCACCUGUGGCGAAGGCGGUCUACCAGAACACGUCCGACGGUGAGGGAUGAAAGCUGGGGGAGCAAACCGGAUUAGAAACCCCGGUAGUCC